GGACCCGCACAAGCAGCGGAGCAUGUGGUUUAAUUCGAAGAUACCCGAAAACCUUACCAAGACUUGACAUCGCCUGAAUAGCCGCGAAAUCGGUGAAGUGAAAGCAAUUUUACAGGUAGACAGAUGGUGCAUGGUUGUCGUCAGCUCGUGUCGUGAGAUGUUCGGUUAAGUCCGAUAACGAGCGCAACCCUUGUCGUUAGUUGCCAUCAUUAAGUUGGGAACCCUAGCGAAACUGCCGUAGAUAAUACGGAGGAAGGUGGGGAUGACGUCAAAUCAUCAUGCCUCUUACGUCUUGGGCUACACACGUGCUACAAUGGCCACCACAAAGAGUUGCAAUAUGGUAACAUGGAGCGAAUCUCAAAAAAGUGGUCUCAAUUCGGAUUGAGGGCUGCAACCCGCCCUCAUGAAAUCGGAGUUGCUAGUAAUCCCAAAUCAGCAUGUUG
rnacentral:rRNA from 1 species